CAAUACAGACUUUUCCUCUUCCACUUUCCGCUUGCCACCUGGAGUCAAACAAACCAUGUGACCAGUUAACAGACCAUGUGACCAGUUAACAGACCAUGUGACCAGUUAACAGACCAUGUGACCAGUUAACAGACCAUGUGACCACUUAGUCACACCAUAUGCCCAGGGUGGGAAAGCCUCUUUGGUAUGCCACUAGCCCUAGCCCUCUAACCCUAGCCCUGACAUCCAUUUAUUAAUGGAUGUAAUACAAUAAAAAAAAUUACCUGAACAUUAUUUAGGAAAGCCAAACAAUUAUCCGAAGUGUUAGAUUAUGCAUCGGAGCCAGCCGUGAUAUUCCCAGACCCAUUCCGUCCUACACAUUAGUCAAUGUGCUGACAUGCAUACACAUGAGACUUUAUUUCCUCUUUCGGUUAUUUUAAGUCGAGAUGUGGUCUGAAUCUAGGGCCCACCCCUCUUACAACACCACGGGUGACACUGAACUUUCAAUGAUAAGAAGUGCCCUACCCAAACAUACGGGAUGACACGUUCUGGAAUGCAAACCUUCCAGCUUCUUAGUAAGUAGUAAAGUACUGAUAGUAUACCUUGUAGCGUUGGUGCAUACAGUAGUAUGGUAGUGGUAUAGUACCUUGUAGCGUUGGUGCAUACAGUAGUAUGCUUGUGGUAUAGUACCUUGUAGCGUUGGUGCAUACAGUGGACCUUGACUUUGGUCUUGAUGUCCUGGUACUGACGUGUUCUGG
ensembl:lncRNA